AUGAUGGAUUAUUUCAUGAGAGAGAAGAAACCACAGGAUUUCUUCUAG
rnacentral:lncRNA from 1 species